UACGGGGGGGGGCAAGCGUUGUUCGGAAUUACUGGGCGUAAAGGGCUCGUAGGCGGCCAACUAAGUCGGAUGUGAAAUCCCCAGGCUUAACCUGGGAACUGCAUCCGAUACUGGAUGGCUUGAAUCCGGGAGAGGGAUGCAGAAUUCCAGGUGUAGCGGUGAAAUGCGUAGAUAUCUGGAGGAACACCGGUGGCGAAGGCGGUUCUCUGGGCCGAUACUGACGCUGAGGAGCGAAAGCGUGGGGAGCGAACAGG
rnacentral:rRNA from 1 species